GACGAACGCUGGCGGCGUGCCUAAUACAUGCAAGUCGAGCGGACGGAUGGGAGCUUGCUCCCAGCCCGUCAGCGGCGGACGGGUGAGUAACACGUGGGCAACCUGCCUGUAAGACUGGGAUAACUCCGGGAAACCGGGGCUAAUACCGGAUAACUCUUUCCCUCACAUGAGGGAAAGCUGAAAGAUGGCAUCUCGCUAUCACUUACCGAUGGGCCCGCGGCGCAUUAGCUAGUUGGUGAGGUAACGGCUCACCAAGGCGACGAUGCGUAGCCGACCUGAGAGGGUGAUCGGCCACACUGGGACUGAGACACGGCCCAGACUCCUACGGGAGGCAGCAGUAGGGAAUCUUCCGCAAUGGACGAAAGUCUGACGGAGCAACGCCGCGUGAGUGAUGAAGGUUUUCGGAUCGUAAAACUCUGUUGUCAGGGAAGAACAAGUACCGGAGUAACUGCCGGUACCUUGACGGUACCUGACCAGAAAGCCACGGCUAACUACGUG
rnacentral:rRNA from 1 species